GAUGAACGCUGGCGGCGUGCCUAAUACAUGCAAGUCGAGCGAACAGACGAGGAGCUUGCUCCUCUGACGUUAGCGGCGGACGGGUGAGUAACACGUGGAUAACCUACCUAUAAGACUGGGAUAACUUCGGGAAACCGGAGCUAAUACCGGAUAAUCUAUUGAACCGCAUGGUUCAUUAGUGAAAGACGGUUUUGCUGUCACUUAUCGAUGGAUCCGCGCCGCAUUAGCUAGUUGGUAAGGUAACGGCUUACCAAGGCAACGAUGCGUAGCCGACCUGAGAGGGUGAUCGGCGACACUGGAACUGAGACACGGUCCAGACUCCUACGGGAGGCAGCAGUAGGGAAUCUUCCGCAAUGGGCGAAAGCUUGACGGAGCAACGCCGCGUGAGUGAUGAAGGUCUUCGGAUCGUAAAACUCUGUUAUUAGGGAAGAACAAAUGUGUAAGUAACUAUGCACGUCUUGACGGUACCUAAUCAGAAAGCCACGGCUAACUACGUG
rnacentral:rRNA from 1 species